AAUGUCAGGAAUUGUGAAAAAUAGAGUUGAAAUGUAUUUGGCUAAGGUGUAUGUAAACUUCCGACUUCAACUGUAUAUACACACAGAAAACACAGACAGCACGCGCCGCACUGCUACAAGCCUCAUCUAACACAUAUGGCACAGACAGCACACUCCGCUUGUCACACACUUACCACUACCCACAAACCCCCUCUGUUCACUCAUCUAAUCCGACCCAUCCUCUUCCAAACCUACUAAGUGUCUCAACGUGCCAAAAUGGUCCAGAACUCUUUGCAGACGCAGGACACUAUUUGACUAUGAAAGUUGUAGAGGUCCAGGAUUGAUAAUGACCUGAGGACUCACUGAAGACAAACUGUGAGGAGGAAACACGAUGGGACUAUUAGACUAUGAAAGUUGUAGAGGUCCAGGAUUGAUAAUGACCUGAGGACUCACUGAAGACAAACUGUGAGGAGGAAACACGAUGGGACUAUUAGACUAUGAAAGUUGUAGAGGUCCAGGAUUGAUAAUGACCUGAGGACUCACUGAAGACAAACUGUGAGGAGGAAACACGAUGGGACUAUUAGACUAUGAAAGUUGUAGAGGUCCAGGAUUGAUAAUGACCUGAGGACUCACUGAAGACAAACUGUGAGGAGGAAACACGAUGGGACUAUUAGACUGUUAGUACUGUAAUGUAAUAUCUAUAGGCUCGGAUGGACCUCAACAUGGAAAAAUGAUGAUGAUGUUACCCUUUUUCAAUCUUGUGAAUAAAUAAUUUAUACCACC